UACGAAGGGGGCUAGCGUUGUUCGGAUUAACUGGGCGUAAAGGGUGCGUAGGCGGGUUUUUAAGUCAGGGGUGAAAUCCCGAGGCUCAACCUCGGAACUGCCUUUGAUACUGGAAAUCUUGAGUCUGGGAGAGGUGAGUGGAACUGCGAGUGUAGAGGUGAAAUUCGUAGAUAUUCGCAAGAACACCGGUGGCGAAGGCGGCUCACUGGCCCGUAACUGACGCUCAUGCACGACAGCGUGGGGAUCAAACAGG
rnacentral:rRNA from 1 species